GAUGAACGCUGGCGGCGUGCCUAAUACAUGCAAGUCGAACGGACAGACGAGGCUCUUGCUCCUCUCACGUUAGCGGCGGACGUGUGAAUAACACGUGUAUACCCUCCCUGUCAGUCUGGUAUCACUUCGGAAAACCGGAGCUAAUCCCGUAGAAUAUAUUGCACCGCGUGGUGCGUUGGUGAGAUUCGGUUUUGCUGUCACUUAUAGCUGGAUCCGCGCCGCAUUAGCUGGUUGGUAAGGUAACGGCUUUCCAAGGCAAGGAUGCGUGACCGACGUGAGAGGGUGAUAGGCGACACGGGAACUGAGACACGGUCCAGACUCCUAAGAGAGGGCGCAGAAGGGAAUGUGACGCAACAGGCGAAAGCCUGACGGAGCAGCGCCGAGUCAGAGAUGAAGGUCUUGGGAUCGUAAAACUCUGUUAUUAGGGAAAAACAAAUGUGUAAGGAACUAUGCACGUCUUGACGGUAACGAAUAAGAAAGCCACGGCUAACUACGUG
rnacentral:rRNA from 1 species